GCCUAAAGCGUCCGUAGCCGGCUAUGUUAGUUUUCGGUUAAAUCCAUGUGCUCAACAUAUGGGCUGUCGAGAAUACUGCAUAGCUAGGGAGUGGGAGAGGUAGACGGUACUCUGUAGGAAGGGGUAAAAUCCUUUGAUCUAUAGAAGACCACCAGUGGCGAAGGCGGUCUACCAGAACACGUCCGACGGUGAGGGAUGAAAGCUGGGGGAGCAAACCGGAUUAGAUACCCGGGUAGUCCCAGCUGUAAACUAUGCAAACUCAGUGAUGCAUUGGCUUGUGGCCAGUGCAGUGCCGCAGAGAAGUCGUUAAGUUUGCCGCCUGGGAAGUACGUACGCAAGUAUGAAACUUAAAGGAAUUGGCGGGGGAGCACCACAAGGGGUGAAGCCUGCGGUUCAAUUGGAGUCAACGCCAGAAAUCUUACCCGGAGAGACAGCAGAAUGAAGGUCAAGCUGAAGACUUUACCAGACAAGCUGAGAAGUGGUGCAUGGCCGUCGCCAGCUCGUGCCGUGAGGUGUCCUGUUAAGUCAGGUAACGAGCGAGAUCCCUGCCUCUAGUUGCCACCAUUACUCUCAGGAGUAGUGGGGCGAAUUAGCGGGACUGCCGCAGUUAAUGCGGAGGAAGGAGGGGGCCACGGCAGGUCAGUAUGCCCCGAA
rnacentral:rRNA from 1 species